rnacentral:tRNA from 1 species
GUCUAGCUCAGCUGGUAGAGCGUCUGAUUUGUAAUCAGGGGGUCGGGGGUUCGAGUCCCUCGA